rnacentral:rRNA from 1 species
AACGAACGCUGGCGGCAUGCCUAACACAUGCAAGUCGAACGAGACCUUCGGGUCUAGUGGCGCACGGGUGCGUAACGCGUGGGAACCUGCCCUUAGGUUCGGAAGAACUCCCCGAAAGGGGUGCUAAUACCGGAUAAUGUCUUCGGACCAAAGAUUUAUCGCCUUUGGAUGGGCCCGCGUUGGAUUAGCUAGUUGGGAGGGUAAAAGCCUACCAAGGCGACGAUCCAUAGCUGGUCUGAGAGGCUGAUCAGCCACACUGGGACUGAGACACGGCCCAGACUCCUACGGGAGGCAGCAGUGGGUAAUAUUGGACAGUGGGCGGAAGCCUGAUCCAGCAAUGCCGCGUGAGUGAUGAAGGCCUUAGGGUUGUACAGCUCUUUUACCCGGGAUGAUAAUGACAGUACCGGGAGAAUAAGCUCCGGCUAACUCCGUG